ACAAGACUUGGACCCUUUUGGUGACUUAAAGGCUUGGAUUUUUCCACCUAAAAGCACUAAAGAGUUGAGACUUCUCUUCAGACUCAAGACUUGGACUCUUGGAAGAUCAAAGAGACCCUUUUGGUGACUUAAAGGCUUGGAGAUUCCACCUAAAAGCACCAAAAGGGUUUGGACAUUCUCUCAACUUGAAGGACUCAAGAAGGCUCUUGGAAUCCCUGUUACCCUAACACGGUUCCCGGAUUCUAGGAGUUCUGCCACGCGUCGUUGGAGUAAUCGCCCACCUGUCAUUCUCCCCUCUUCAAUCAAUCAAUCAAUUCCGUACUUUUCGUGGAUUUCUCUCCUCCUCAGCCAACACGAAACCCUAACCCUAGCAAGGUACGAUUUCCUUGCCCACAUUUUUUUGGCGACUCUGCUGGGGAGGUGUAGAAUUCGUGAAGGGUAUGCCCACAACUCGAAGUGGGAGAACUACAGGAAGAGCCACUUCACCAACAAAUAGCAUUACCUCACCGGAUCCAGUUCCAAGGCAAGUAACUCAAGCAUUCCAAGGCGCAAAUCUGGAUUUUGACCAACCACUUAUUAAAGACGCUUCGGAAGGGAGUUCAACAUCACUAUACAUGGCCAAUCAACAACAAACCAACGCAGAAAGGCAAGACGAGGAUGCAAGUGGAGAACAAAUGAAUGUUGUGCAACUGGAGAUGCUCAAAACAUUGAAGGAAGCACGGGAAGGACAAGGUAUGAUGAUGGCCAUGAUGCUGGAGAUGCAAAGGAAGCAAGAAGAGAUGUGGAAUUUCCGCCAGCAAUUGAUGCAGAUCCCUACCUUCAAGGCCAUGUUCCCAGGCAAUUCGCAUGGAGAACAAGUAGGAGUGGAGGACAACAACAAUGGCAGCAACAACAAAGAGAACCAGAUUGUACCUCCAUUGACGGAAAGUCAAUCGGUUCCAGUAAUCAACUUGGAGCUCCAGAACAGUGGUGACGGGCCACAACCUAGGUUGGAAGCAAGCCAACCUCAAACGAACAUCAUCCCAUCAUUUUCACAGGUGCAAAUGCCAAACAUUCCAAGCAAUGUCCAGCGAGUGAGCCAGCAACUUCCACCAGUGCCAGUUGUGCAUGAUGCAAGCGUGCAUCAACCAACCUCUCUACCAUACACAUUGCCGAUGCAGCAGUAUAUCACAACACCCCAGAGAGUUCACGCCACAAGCCAGUACGUGACGAAGGAUGAUAUGAUCGACGUGAUCAAUCAACUUCGCAGACAGACAUCUCGACCCUCGGAGUUAGACUUUACUCCUCCUUACCCUGCACACAUUCGGAGGCAACCUUACCCAACAGGGUAUAUUGAGCACCCACCGCAGUUUCCAAAAUACAAUGGGGAGAAAGGAAAUGCCAGAGAACACGUUGCCAGGUUCGUAGAGUCGAUGUCUCCAUGGCUAGGAUAUGAUGAAGUAAACAACCACAACUUGUUGAUGAGGGAAUUCAACAAGACUUUGACGGAUAGUGCCUUCAGUUGGUACUACAAUUUGGAGAAGGGAUCAGUCCAUGAUUGGGAUGAUCUAAAAUUGCAAUUUUUUAAGAAAUUCUUCUAUGUGCAGAAACAGGUAACCAUCGUAGAGCUCAUGCGAUUCAAGCAGAAGCCAAACGAGGAGCUGUCAGAUUAUGUGGAUAGGUUCAGGGCCCAAGCACAGAAGUGUGCAGAGCCAAUUGAAGAAAAGAACUUGGUUAGCAUAUGCAACAAUGGUGCUUUAGACGCCUUCAAGCCCCACCUCAUCACCAAGGCUUGUGAUUCCUUCGCAAAUCUCUCAUCUUUUGCACAAGACUUGGGGGGAAUCAUGACAUUUCCCACCAGUCAUGCGAUGGAUACAUGGAAGAGCAAGAGGACAGCAACUGUGGCUUUAGUGGAUUCUCAGUCAAAAUCACAAGGGGGCAAGAGGGAGAAGAAUGAGAAAUUUGAACGAAACAGAGAAAAGCACAGGGACAAGUAUACUAGAAUGCCAGUUCCGGAGGCUAUCACAUGCAGCGAGAAGGCGUUCAGGAGCCUGUACGAACAAUGGGUCGAGUACGGAGUAGUGAAACCUCCAAGGCCCCGGUCGGUUGUAACUGAAGAAAUGAAAAGAAGAUCAGACUUCUGUGUAUACCACCAAUACGCAGGGCAUUCCACUAUGGACUGUUACAGUCUACGGAGGAUAUACCAUGAGAAACUGGCGGCUGGGGAGAUUGAACUAGGAGAAGAAACGUGCAACACCAUCACCCAUGGUGCAGUCCUGUAAGUCAAGAACUCAAAUAUUGGCUCUACGUACCAUCGAACAAACUUUGAACUACAGAUGAAUUAAAAAUCCACCCAAGAUGGUGGUCCACCAAAAAUGUAGGUUUAAGUCCUCUGGAAUAUCCUUUGCCAAGUAAAUUGGAUGACCAAGGGAGGAGGCACAAGAAUUGACGAAAAAAAAAAACCCACCCAAGAUGGUGGUCCACUCUAAACGGUGGUCAAGUCCUCUUAGACUGCACUUGCCAAGAAAUUGGACGACCCAAGUGACGAGGCACCCGAUUUCAAGUCCUCGUAGACUGCACUUGCCAAGAAAUUGGAUGACUCAAGUGACGAGGCACCCGAUUUCAAGUCCUCGUAGAUUACACUUGCCAAAAUAUUGGACGACCCAAGUGACGAGGCACCCAUUUUCAAGUCCUCGUAGACUGCACUUGCCAAGAAAUUGGACGACCCAAGUGACGAGGCACCCGAUUUCAAGUCCUCGUAGACUGCACUUGCCAAGAAAUUGGAUGACUCAAGUGACGAGGCACCCGAUUUCAAGUCCUCGUAGAUUACACUUGCCAAAAUAUUGGACGACCCAAGUGACGAGGCACCCAUUUUCAAGUCCUCGUAGACUGCACUUGCCAAGAAAUUGGACGACCCAAGUGACGAGGCACCCGAGUGUUACACUUUAUCAUCAAAAGUGAAUGAGGCACCUGACUAUAAGCCCUCAGACCCGAAAAAGUUACACUUUAUCUCUAAAAGUGGUGAACGUUAUGCUUUCACCGACAAAAGCAAGAUUUAUUAUAUAUGAAAUGUUAUGCUUUUCGUUAAAAGCAAUUUUAUUAUCAAUAAAUUGACAAACUUUCACUUAUACUUGAACGCUUUUUUUUAAAAUUUUUUAAAAAAAAAAGAAAGGAAAAAGAAAAGAAAAGUAUAGAUUCAAGUGUUAGUUUGUAUGAAAUAAAUGUACAUGAUUUUCUGAUACAAGAAAUGAAAAGAACUACGACAGUUCAUGAUCCAAAGGUCAUGACCUGUCGAAUUGAAGAUAGAGGAAUACCUAAAGCUUGGUCUUCGAGGCCAUCAGCAGGUCUUCGAUGCUAUCAGUAGAUCUUCAAGGCUAUUAUCAGGCCUUCGAUGCUAUUAGGCCUUCGAAGCUAUCAGCAGGUCUUCAACACUAUCAGCAGGACUUCGAGGCUAUCAGGCCUUCGAAGCUAUCAGGCCUUCACGAAAUGUUUGGUUCUCAAUGACUUCUUGAUUCCAAAAGAAAGAGGAAUUUCAAGAGAUGGUAAGAAAGAUUAGAUCGAAGAUUUUCAAAAUAUCCCAGGAGAGCUCCUCUAAGGCUCGCCCUUCUAGGGUUUGCUCCCUAGAGGUUCCCUCUCCUAGGACUUUCGUUUUUGAGGAUUGCAAAACAUCAAGCCCCGCGAAGUGUUCAGACACUGGAAUCAAGACUUCAACACUUAUAAUAUUUUGCGCGAUCAUCUCACCAAAGGCGUGACUCACGCGCAGGGGGCAAAUACUUACCGAAAGAGGGCAUAGACAUCCUCCAGAGUAAAGGUGCAUUCACCCCAAGCAGUGAUGAAUAUGUAGGUCCUAUUGGAUAUGAAUGUUCCUACAUAGCUGGAUGCAAAGUUAUCCACAUAAUCAGCAUUCCUAAGUAGCUAGUCAAUCCAAUGUUGCUAUUCUUGAAGGUGGUUAGAUGAAUCAGACAAGAAGUCAUCCCAACUUCCAUAAGCCGUUGGAUAUAGAAACAAGCCUUCCUUCUAUGGUGGAGGAAAAGUUGUACGGGCAUAAGUUUGGACUUGCUUCCAAAAGACGACGAAAAGACCAAAGGAGGGGAACCCUUUCCCAAUCAUUGAGAAACGGGGCCUCCUUGGUUGUUCCCAAGUCUGCAGAAUGUUCAACAGGGAGGGCCUGCAAGAAAAAAAAAGAGAGUUCAGCAUAAGGGAUCUAAAGAAGCAAGGAAGGGACGUCAAAUAAAGUACUUGAGCUCGAAAUGCUCACCAUGCCAAAGAGGAAUAUCCGAGAGUAAAGCUUCAAAACACCUGAAAAGAAGAUGAAACAAUGUCAGAAAGAGUUAGGGUUCACCCCCUAGGGUUCGGCUCCCUAGGGUUCGGCUCCCUGGAGCGGUUUCACUGCAUCUAGAGCAUUUUUUCUUCCUUCGUGUUCUUCGUGGACGAAACGUCAAGUCUUUCUUUAUUAUCCGAGGGAAAAAACCAAGAUGUAAUCAAGGUAAUGGGGCUCGGAAGACAAAAGAAAGAUUGGGGAGUCCAAAAAAAAAAUUUGUAGGGUUCCGCCCCCCUAGGGUUCGACCAUGUUGGCUUUGUAGGUCUCCUCGCUAGCUUCGUUUUGAUAUAUUAUGGGCUCCGAAACUCCAAACGAGUCAAAAGUUAUGAUCAAAAUAGUAGUUGCUCCUCCAAAAACUUCAUCUUUUUCAUUAAAACUUCAUUUUUCCCAUAGGGUUCGGCCAUGUUGCCUUAGGCUACCUAGGGUUCGGUCAUGUUGGCUUUGUAGGGCUGGUCGAUAUCUUCAUUUUGAUAUAUUAUGGGCCCCGAAACUUCAAACGAGUCAAAAGUUAUGAUCAAAAUAGUAACUGCUCUUCCAAAAACUUUAUUUUCCCCAUAGGGUUCGGCCAUGUUGCCUUAGGCUACCUAGGGUUCGGCCAUAUUGGCUUUAUAGGGCUCGUCGAUAUCUUCGUUUUGAUAUAUUAUGGGCCCCGAAACUCCAAACGAGUCAAAAUUUAUGAUUAAAAUAGUAAUUGCUCCUCCAAAACUUCAUUGUUCCCCUAGGCCAUGUUGCCUUAGGCCACCUAGGGCGCGACCAUGUUGCCUUAGGCCACCUAGGGGGCGGCCAUGUUGCCUUAGGCCACCUAUGGGUCGUUCUUUUCACCCCUUAAAAAAAAAAAAUCUAUGUAGGCUUCGGCCAUGUAGUCUUCGACUAUGUAAGCCUCGACUACCUAGGGGCUGUUACCCUUCAUACCUUUGAGGUCCUGUUGCUCUAUCAAUCAACUGCUUGAAAUGAAUGCUCCUUUGCCGCGAAGAUUUUCCAAAAGAUAAGUAUCUUUGAAUUCAUUUCUAAAUAAAAAUAUAUAAAGAUAUUAUUUGCUAAAUAUAAAGAAGAUUUAGUUUUAUUCCCAAUAAGGGGUAAUUUUUGAAAAUAGAUUAUUUAUAUGCAUAUAUAUAUAUAUAUAUAUAUAUAUAUAUAUAUAUAUAUAUGUAUAAAUAAGUAAAAUCUUUUGCUUUCAAAUAAAGAAAGAUUUGGUUUAUUUCCAAAAUAUAGAAAGAUUUGAUUUAUUUCCAAAACAAAGAAAGCUUUGAUUUUAUUUCCAAAAUAAGAUUAAGAUUUGAUUUAUUUCCAAAACAAAGAAAGCUUUGAUUGUAUUUUCCAACAUAAGAUUAAGAUUUGAUUUUAUUUUCGAAAAAAAUAAUAUUAAUUAAGGUCUGAUUUACCAAAAGAAGGAUUUUAUUAGAUUAAAAUUUAUUUAUAUUUGAUUAUAUUUCCUUGUUUCCAUUGCCAGAAAAAAAUAAGGAAACAAAUAUUGGACAAGAUAUGGAAAGAUUUUUGGAGAAGUUCCCAAUUUGUCUAAGAAAGAGCCCUGCAAAAUCAUUCAAAGGCUUAUAAUUUUCUUGCACGAUCGUCUAUUUGGGAAUGCGACUCUCGCGCAGGGGGCAAAUGUGGGCCCAAGUGCAAAAUUAGGGUUCACAUGACCUAAUUGAAUUAAAUGCACAAUUAGGGUUCCACGACCUCAUUAAAUGUGCAAAUUAGGGUUCGCAUAACCUAAUGGAAUGAAGAUGGAAAAGUCAGAAAUAAAUGUGCUAGACCCGGGAUAAGCCUCCACGUGUCCCGAGGCAGAAGACUCGUGGAGGCGGCUCGUUUUGGGAAUUGAUUGAGGGAUUGGAUUGGUGGCUAGAAGGACAGGGCAAUAUGAGCAUUAUUCUAAGGACUAAAGGGUAUUUCUGGAAUUUCCCUGAAAUCAUGUGCCUUGCACAUGACUACUUUCCAGAGAACCCUAUAAAUACCCCUUCUAUUCCAUUGGGAAAGGGACACACAAGACUUGGACCCUUUUGGUGACUUAAAGGCUUGGAUUUUUCCACCUAAAAGCACUAAAGAGUUGAGACCUCUCUUCAGACACAAGACUUGGACUCUUGGAAGAUCAAAGGACCCUUUCUGGUGACUUAAAGGUUCGGAGAUUCCACCUAAAAGCACUAGAAAGGGGUUUGAACAUUCUCUCAACUCGAAGGACUCAAGAAGGCUCUUGGAAUCCCUGUUACCCUAACACGGUUCCCGG
rnacentral:lncRNA from 1 species